rnacentral:tRNA from 1 species
GGUAAGGUAGCCUAGCGGUUAAGGCAGCCCAUGCCUGUUGGGUCCGGAUCCAUUGGAUCUGGUUGCUGGUUUGAAUCCAGCCCUGACCA